CGCGUCCCGGAGCGGCGACGCCAGCCUCUCACCGCGGCCCCACACCCUUAUCCGCCAGCUGCUCUGAAGCAGUGGCCUGGACGCCGCUGCUCUGGGCGCGGGGAAUGGUAAAGCUGGCGGUUUCGUCCCUAGAAAGGAACCCGGAGCUGGGGAGGGCUCCGACUUCAGCGCGAGCCCUGUGACCCGGGGUGGCUGGGCUCCUCGGGCCGCAGUUUCCCUGUGGUGGAGAUCCCAGUAUCCCCGUCGGAAGGCUGCGCCCAGCAGCGGAGGCAGUGGGUGCACGCCCUGUGCACACCGUGCCUGGGCUAUCACUGUGGCGUCGGUGUGCACACGACACAGGCGCAGGUACUGCCUAAAAGUUGUUCAGGCCACUUCUGGAGGCGCGACCAGGACCGGCCCGGAGGUAACCUACCCUCCUGGCGGCCUCUGCAGCCAGAAACCUGGUGCCACCCUCGGCGACUCCCCUGAACUGAGGCCCGGCUUCCUGGGCUUCUGGGGCUGCGGGGGCGCGGGCUGAAACCCGCCGCUGGGUGCCGUGGCACACAUCUGUAAUCCUAUCACUCAGGAGGCAGAUGCAGGAGGAUCACAAGUUUGAGACCAGACUUCGUCUGCAUAGCAAGUCGAAUGCCUGCCUGCCUGGACCACAUAAGUACAGCACUGUCUGCAGCCCCUGCGAAGGAGAAGCUGUCUGGUGCCAUUAGCGUCCCUGAAGAGCAGUGUUUUGCAUGUCUGCUCUACAUCACCGCCCUUCCUCCAAGACCCGACCCAGUGACUGAGGAUGCUGGCCUCACCGUGCCUUCCACCAUGGCCAUGCUGUGUGUGGACAAUCUGGGCUCCUCUUUCUCGGUCUCCCCCGGGGUCACUCGUGUGACUGUGGUACCCAGCUCUGGAGGGUCCGAGGUGGUGUCCUCACGUGUUCCACAGUCAGUGCUGGCUCUCUCUCUCUUCUGUGUCUUUCUUACAAAAGAAAAAGGAAUCAUAUGGUUUAUGGAAGAAAAUUUAGAAAUGCUGUCAAAACAAGGGAAAGAAAAUAGCACUCACCUAUAAUGCCAGCACCUCAGAAUAACCAUUGUUGGUAUUUAGACAUAUAUAUCUAUCCAGCCUUACUCUAAAAUAUUGGUAACAAUGUGUAGUCUACAAAAAUGCAUAUUAUUGAUUACUUCUUUUUUUUUUUUUUUUUUUUUUUGCAGAACCAGGGAUCAAACUCAGGACCUUGUGCUUGCCAGGCAGGCAUGGCACCACUGAGCUACAUCCCUGGCCCUACUUUUUUGUUUUGUGACACAGGGUCUUGCUAUGUAGUUCAGGCUAGCCUUGAACUUGCAGUACUAUGUAGUCUAGGGUGGCCUCGAACUCAUGGUGAUCCCUGCCUCAGCCUCCCAAGAGCUGGGAUUACAGGUGUGUGCCACUAUGCCAGGCAUUGAUUAUUUUCUUGAUAGGCACUGUGCUGUAUCCUCUGCAUAGAUUAUUUCAUUUAAUACUCACUGCACUCCUACAGAACAGAUACUAUUACUAUUACUAUUACUAUUACUAUUACUGUCUUUAGGGAAGGAAAAAUUGAUGCUUAGCGACCUUAUACAUACAUAUAUACUGUCUUGUAACUCCUUUUUUCAUAUAACAUCAUGCAUAAUUCCUCACUUGAUUGCUUUUGAACAGGCUGGAUCAAAAUAAAAAAGUAACAAAGACUUUACAUAAAAAUAAUGUGGGUUUUUUUACAAGGGAGUAAUACUCAGCCACAAAGAAACACAAACUUGAGACAUUUCUAGGUUAAUGGAUGCACCUUGAGACCAUAGUCUUAAGUGAAAUAAAUCAGACACACAUGUAAAUAUCACAUUGUCUCUCUGGUGUGAGAAGCUGAAAGGGUAAAUAAGGACCAAAAUGUAUAGUAGAUAAUGGGAAAUUGUUCAAAAGGAAAGGGAAACUGAAAGUUGGAAGGGGGAAAAGGAAGGGAAAAGAAAAAAAAUGGAAACAAAGCUUUUGUAAAUGAGGAGGGGAGGGGAUUGGGAGAAAAAGAGGAAUCAAGGUAUACCAUAAACAGGUACAAAUUCCCCUUAAUGAAUGUGAUCGUUAUGUAUAUUCAAAUUGUGCCAAUAAAAUCAAUUUUAAAAAACAAUGACUUUACAAUAUUUGGAUCUCUGAUUUCUGGCCAAAUUUGCUUCUUGAGCCUGUCAGGUGAUUGCAGAUUAGAACAAAAUAAUGAUGCAUGCCCUUCACUGCAAAGUACUAGCUUUGACAUUUCAAUCUUUUGUAAGAGCUUCAAGG
rnacentral:lncRNA from 1 species